UGAAUGCAUGUGUAAAUUUACCACUGCAACUAGCUGCCUAGGAACAAAAUAAAUUCAAAGCAACUGUGCAGAGAGGAGUAAAUCUCGAACCUGGUAUCCAGCUCACAGAGGUGGCCCAGGACAGCAGGAGAUAUUCAGAGGGGCCAGUGGGAAUACCUCCAGAGAAGCUGGCCCUUAGCACUAUCCUUCCUGCUGUCAUCCAUGCGGCCUCACAUUCCCCACAAUAGUACCCAUGGGGGAUGCACAAGAUGCACUGAAUUCAAGGAGCUCUUGCUAAACUGUUCACCCGGAAUGCUAUUUGCCUUCUGCUUCUUCCCCUUCUUUUCCUCACACAUCCCUUCAACCUGCACCAUUAAGUGUAGUGGUAGAAGAAAACAACAUCCCCAUAGGGCAGAGGGAAGUGACUUCUGCCCUUGGCAGGGUGCACCUUCAGCAUCAGCACAUACCUGGGGGUACCAGCAACAGCCUGCAGUCUUGGCAGUACCUUGAGAAGAGAGUGAAAAAAAAGGGCAAGGAAAAACAAUGACAAACAGGGGCUCAUUGCUGGAUAUGAUUGAACUUAAUAUUACUUACCUCAGAAAUUGAACAACCACAGGAGGUGUGAUAAACCAUCUGUAAAAUUUUUGAGAACUAAUUUGAGAUCUCGGUCCAAUUUCUUCUGGCCAUAUUAAACGCUGUGCUAAGUGGAGACUUUCUUUCACAGGAAAAAAGCACCAAGACUGAAACAUGGGAUUUUGGUUAACAGGGACCCAGACUGCUAAGAUCCAACCUGUUUGCUGAGACCAUUUCUAGCCCCCUUGAACUGUCGGCAUUCUUUAGUCACAAUGUAUUUGCUGGUGUGUUUCAACUCUCAUCAACAAUUCUGUAUUAGUGUGCCAGUUCUAAUACACACCCUUUUCCCUGGAAUUUCGAAAUGUUCACUGAAUGUUGAUUUAUACAUUCAACAUAAGUUACAUGCAUAGUAUGUUAAGCGACCAUUGGACUAAAACAGUGAUUUAAGGGCAAAGAUUUCACCAAGGUGUGUCCUCAUCCAUAUAGGCAAGCAAGAUCCAAAGUCAAUAAAGAACUUGCUGGUUUUCCCUUUGGACAUUGUUGAGCUUCGGAUUUUGUGUAUGCUGCCAGAAAAUAAAAUCAACAAAAGCAGUACAGCCUCCGUCAUGUUUUCACACUGUUAAGGAUAUAAAUGACCUCUCUGUAUGAG